rnacentral:lncRNA from 1 species
UCUGAACUCAUUUAGAGGGUGGAAUUAUUCAUCUAGAAUAUCUCCUGUAAAGUUUCGACUAAAAUCUGAACUGGAUUUGCUUGCCCCACAGAAUUGGCGGUGUCUCACCCUCCAUUGGAUAUCACAUGCCCCCAGCCACACAAGCACUAUCAGAGUUCAGGAGUAAGAAUAUGAAAUAUGUUCACUAAAUUUCUCAUUCAUGUAAUCUACAGUGGCUCACAGGGAAAGAACAACAGACCAUAACCACAAUCAGGUGUUGGCAUUCUUCAUCCGUGUUGAUUUAGGCAUGAUUGAAGUGAUGUAUGAAAAAUACAUCACCUCCAGGUUACAGCUGUCAGCUUCAGAGGAGCGGUCUAAACCUUAGGGAACGAGCUCUUUUUUUGAGACUAGCUUGUCAUUCUUUCAAAGUGUUCAAGAAUUCAUUCCAUAGUAUUGUGUGCUGUUAUUUUAUACUGCUAUGAAAUGUACUGUCCCCAGAAUUAAUUAUCCUGCUAAAACUGUCUGUUUAAUAGGUGUGCAAAGCAACUGUAUUUAUGACACCUGAUUCCAUGUUCUCUCUCUCUCUUUCUCUCUCUCUCUCUCUCUCUCUGUGUGUGUGUGUGUGUGUGUGUGUGUGUGUUGCUCCUUAAAUAUUACUUAUCCAGACUGCCCUUUGCUUGCUGGGGUGUAAGACUGCUUGAAAUUGAGUGUCAGAGGAAAAUAUUGGAAAUGUCUCUGAGGUUUUGUGUCUGUCAAAUGGCUGACCCUAUUUAUUUAUCUAUUUAUAUCUAUUUCUUUAGCACCUUUGCUGGGUGGAUAGCUCAGUGGUUCAGGUGUCUGGCGGAAAAGCCAGAGGCUGGGCGUUAGAUCCCUCGCAGUGCCACCUGCAAGUACAACCAGCCUGAGUAUCAGAUGGAGUAAAAUUUUGAAUUCUGCUAGAUAACAACUGUUAUGAAAGGCAAAGGAAAAAAAAGUCAGCACUGUCCCAAAAUCUAUAGGCCGUGCCAUUUUUCACCCCUACCAAAUCUGUUGGCACCAGUAUUUCUGCCCCAUUCCCACCAUUUCCACUGUUCCUGAAAUACAGUGGGGUCUCUACUUAAGAACGUCUCUACUUAAGAACAAUCCAACUUAAGAACAGCUCCAUUUGCUAAAUUUUGCUUCUACUUGAAAACAGAAAUCCAAGAUAAGAACAGGAAAAAAAACCCUUUCCUGCUCUUUUUUUAACCUUAGGUCAUCUUAGGCUAAGAAAAAUUCUCCCCCUAGUGGUAGAGUACGUAUUAACCAGCUUUGCAUUAGUUCCUAUGGGAACUAGUGCUUCAAUGUACGAACGCACCUCUACAUAACAAAAAAACAGCCAGAACGGAUUAAUUGGUUUUCAGUCCAUUCCUAUGGGAAUUUUUGCUUCAACUUAAGAACGUUUCAACUUAAGAACACCAUUCCAAAAUGGAUUAAGUUCUUAAGUA